CCUACGGGAGACAGCAGUGAGGAAUAUUGGUCAAUGGACGAGAGUCUGAACCAGCCAAGUAGCGUGAAGGAUGACUGCCCUAUGGGUUGUAAACUUCUUUUAUAUGGGAAUAAAAUGUUCCACGUGUGGGAUUCUGUAUGUACCAUAUGAAUAAGGAUCGGCUAACUCCGUGCCAGCAGCCGCGGUAAUACGGAGGAUCCGAGCGUUAUCCGGAUUUAUUGGGUUUAAAGGGAGCGUAGGUGGAUUGUUAAGUCAGUUGUGAAAGUUUGCGGCUCAACCGUAAAAUUGCAGUUGAAACUGGCAGUCUUGAGUACAGUAGAGGUGGGCGGAAUUCGUGGUGUAGCGGUGAAAUGCUUAGAUAUCACGAAGAACUCCGAUUGCGAAGGCAGCUCACUGGACUGCAACUGACACUGAGGCUCGAAAGUGUGGGUAUCAAACAGGAUUAGAUACCCCGGUAGUC
rnacentral:rRNA from 1 species